rnacentral:rRNA from 1 species
UCUCUGGGUGGCGAGUGGCGGACGGGUGAGGAAUAUAUCGGAAUCUACCCUUUCGUGGGGGAUAACGUAGGGAAACUUACGCUAAUACCGCAUACGAUCUAAGGAUGAAAGCGGGGGAUCGCAAGACCUCGCGCGAUUGGAGCGGCUGAUAUCAGAUUAGGUUGUUGGUGAGGUAAAAGCUCACCAAGCCGACGAUCUGUAGCUGGUUUGAGAGAACGACCAGCCACACUGGGACUGAGACACGGCCCAGACUCC